GGUUGAUUGUUAGAGCAAGUAGGCUGCUGAGGAGAGAGGACUUCAGAAGCAGUGCACUCUGCAAGAAAAUAUGCUGUCUGGUUGAAAUCUAUUCGAUUUUCAGAUGAUAACGUUAGGAUACACGUUUAGCGAACUUUAUGACCACAUUCACUGUUGUUCCUUGUAGAUAUUGGAAGUGCGAGUGCUAGGUCCGAACUCGCUAGACAUGAGAUGAGUUAGCGGCAUACUGGCCUUUAGCUAGUUUAAGAAGUAAAUAUUAUUAGAAAGGGUUGGCAAUAUCGAGCAAAAUCCUCGCCCAGACAUUGGCAAGAAAAUUCCACUUAACGACCUAUCGGGGUGGUGUGUCGGGAUGGACUGCUCUGAUGGAGAAACUCAACCUCCACAAACGGCUUUAAGUUGUAGAUAGUUUGGGAUCUGGGAGCUGUGAUAGAGAAAUGUAUCAAACUCCACAAACCGGUACCCCACACUACCCGGCAAUACAUGUGUGCACAGCUCUCAUUCAAAAGUACUCCUUGUUGAGAGACCAGACAGGGAAGGGAUAUGUAAGAAUUCUUGAAUUUUCCUACUCACAUUGAUUCACACACUAAGAACCUUUUUACACCAUUGUGCCUACCCAGACCAUAAUGUGCUGGCUUAGAUGUUUACUUCUCACAUUGGUUAUUCCAUCACAUUCGCAGCAGCAUAAAAAGACCAUCUAUUGUUAUGUAAUUAACUACUAUGUCUGCUCCUCUGACCUCACUUCCAAUAAUCCGUCAUGACAUUUCUCAUGUACCCUUUACAGUAUGCAGCCAUUCUAAUUCCAUUCAUUCGAAUCCAGCCUUUUUAUUAUACACCCUUAAAUUGAAGGUCUCGAGGCCACUGCAGCCAUUUUGCUCCUCCCCUACCUUUGCUCCUCCCCUACCUCCUCAAAGAAGAUCCAAGUGGGCUGUACGUCACAGACAUUGUGUAAAUUUCCCCAUUACCUAGAAUGAUUAGAGCCAAGUCCAACUGUUCCUGGAUGGAGAGGAGCUACAUGCCAGAGGACAUCUCCAUGGGAUUGAGAUUGGCAAUGGGAGUCCAUUUUGUUUUUAACAUUGAGCAUGCAGCAUCAGUGAAAAACACUAUGCUGAGCAUUCAGAAACGUGUUCUGGGAAUUUAUGAGGGGGGUAAAUUACCAACAAAUGUUGAAUGGCAAACUUUUUUCCCCCAGUGUCUGUGUUAUUUUGCCCAUCUUCAUCUUUUCUUUUUAUUGGCCAGUCUGAGAUAUGGCUUUUUCUUUGCAACUCUGCACAGAAGGCCAGCAUCCCGGAGUCAGCCUCUUCAUUGUUGACGUUGAGACUGGAGUUUUGCAGGUACUAUUUAAUGAAGCUGCCAGUUGAGGACAUGUGGGGCAUUUGUUUCUCAAACGAGAUACUCUAAUGUACUUGUCCUCUUGCUCAGUUGUGCACCAGGGCCUCCCACUCUUUCGAUUCUGUUUAGAGCCAGUUUGCGCUGUCCUGUGAAGGGAGUAGUACACAGCAUUGUACGAGAUCUUCAGUUUCUUGGCAAUUUCUCGCAUCAAAAGGCCUUCAUUUCUCAGAACAAGAAUAGACUGAUGAGUUUCGGAAGAAAGGUCUUUGUUUCUGGCCAUUUUGAGCCUGUAAUCGAACCCACAAAUGCUGAUGCUCCAGGCCAGUUUUAUUGCUUCUUUAAUCAGAAGAACAGUUUUCAGCUGUGCUAACAUAAUUGCAAAAGGGUUUUCUGAUGAUCAAUUAGCCUUUUAAAAUGAUAAACUUGGAUUAGCUAACACAACGUGCCAUUGGAACACAGGAGUGAUGGUUGCUGAUAAUGGGCCUCUAUGCCUAUGUAGAUAUUCCAUUACAAAUCAGCCAUUUCCAGCUACAAUAGUAAUUUACAACAUUAACAAUAUCUACACUGUAUUUCUGAUCUAUUUGAUGUUAUUUUAAUGGACAAAAAAUGUGCUUUUCUUUCAAAAACAAGGAAAUAUCUAAGUGACCCCAAACUUUUGAACGGUAGUGUAUAUACUGUAUGUAUGUUUUUAUGUUUAGAUUCAUAAUAUAAUUUAAAAGUAUGCAUUAAGGGAUCUGUAAUAGAAUAAAUGUGGCAAGAUGUCUACAUUACGAAUGUAGACAUUAAUAAAGGCAUUUCUAAUAAUGUGUGACACAUGGUGCCAGGUUUCCUCCAGACGUGACGCUUGGCAUUCAGGCCAAAGAGUUCAAUAUUGGUUUCAUCAGACUAGAGAAUCUUGUUUCUCAUGGUUUGAGAGUCUUUAGGUGCCUUUUGGCAAACUCAAAGCGGGUUGUCGUGUGCCUUUUACUGAGGAGUGGCUUCCAUCUGGCCACUCUAACAUAAAGGCCAGAUUGGUGGAGUGCUGCAGAGAUGGUUGUCCUAUCUCCACAGAUCAAGUCUAGAGCUCAGGUUCUUGGUCACCUCCCUGACCAAGGCCCUUCUUCCCCGAUUUCUCAGUUUGGCCAGGCAGCCAGUUCUAGGAAGAGUCUUGGUGGUUCCAAACAUCUUCCAUUUUAGAAUGAUGGAGGCCACUGUGUUCUUGGGGACAUUCAAUUCUACAGAAAUUGUUUGGUACCCUUCCCCAGAUCUGUGCCACGACACAAUCCUGUUUUGUUGCUCUAUGGAUAAUUCCUUCAAUCUCAUGGCUUGGUUUUUGCUCUGACCAUGCACUGUCAACUAUGGGACCUUAUAUAGACAGGUGUGUGCCUUUCCAAAUCAUGUCCAAUCAAUUGAAUUUACCACAGGUGGACUCCAAUCGAGUUGUAGAAACAUCUCAAGUGUGAUCAAUGGAAACAGGAUGGACCUGAGCUCAAUUUCGAGUCUCAUAGCAAAGGGUCUGAAUUCUUAAGUAAAUAAGGUAUUUCUGUUUUUUAUUUGUAAUAAAUUUGCGGGAAAAAAAAACUGUUUUGCUUUUUCAUUAUGAUGUAUUGUGUGUAGAUUGCUGAAGAUUUCAUAAAAAAAAAAAAAAACAUUUUAGAAUAAGGCUGUCAAGUAACAAAAUGUGGAUAAAGUCAAGGGGGCUGAAUACUUUCCGAAGGUGCUGUACAAAGCGGUUAAGAGCGUUGGGCCAGUAACCAAAGGGUCGCUGGAUUGAAUCCCCGAGCCGGCAAGGUGGAAAAAUCUGCCAUUCUAUGCUUGAGCAAGGCAGUUAACCCCCAACAACGGCUUCCCCGGCGCCGAAUAAGGCAGCUCCCCGCACCUCUCUGAUUCAGAGGGGUUGAGUUAAAUGUGGAAGACACAUUUCGGUUGAAUGCAUUCAGUUGUGCAACUGACUUGGUAUCCCCUUUCCCUUCUCUUUAAUUCAGCUCCACCCUGGUGUUUCUGUAGUGCACUUGGAAUAGAGUUUUCAAAAACACUGGAUUGAUGCAAAUAAUCAUGAUUCAGAAAGUAUUCACACCCCUUGACUUUUUCCAAAUUUUGUUGUGUUACAGCCUGAAUUUAAGAUGGAUUACAUUUAGAUGGUUGGCCACCCCAUAAUAUGAAAGUAGAAUGAUGUUUUUCUGAACAUUUUUUACAAAUUAAUUGAAAAAGAAUAGCUGAAAUAUCUUGAGUCAAUAAGUUUUCAAACCCUUUGUUAUGGCAAGCCAAAAUAAUUUCAGGAGUAAAAAUGUGCUUAACAAGUUACAUAAUAAGUUGCAUGUAUUCACUCUGUGCAAUUAUAGUGUUUUACAUCAUUUUUAAUGACUACCUCAUCUCUGUACCCAACAUCUACAAUUAUUUGUAAGAUCCCUCAGUCGAGCACUGAAUUCCAAACACAGAUUCAACCACAAAGACCAGAGAGGUUUUCCAAUGCCUUGCAAAGAAGGGAACCUAUUGGUAGAUGGGUAAAAAAUAAAUAAAAAGCAGACAUUGAAUAUCCCUUUGAGCAUGGUGAAGAUAUUAAUUACACUUUGGGUGGUGUAUCAAUACACCAAGUCACUAAAACAAUACAGGCGUUCUUCCUAACUCAGUUGCCGGAGAGGAAGGACACCGCUCAGGGAUUUCACCAUGAGGCCAAAACAGUUACAGAGUUGAAUGGCUGUGAUAGGAGAAAACUGAGGAUGAAUCAACAACAUUGUAGUUACUCCACAAUAAUAACAUAAUUGACAAAGUGAAAAGAAGGAAGCAUGUACAGAAUACACAUUUUCCAAAACAUGCACCCUGUUUAGCAACAAGGUAAUAAAGUAAUACUGCCAAAAAUGUGGCAAAGCAAUUCACUUUUUGUCCUGAAUGCAAAGUGUUAUGUUUAGAGAUGAAUUUACCCUGGACAAAAACUGGACAAAAACCUAUAACACCAGGCCAAAUCUACACCUGAGUUGCUUUACCAAGAAAACAGUGCAUGUUCCUGAGUGGCUGAGUUACAGUUUGGACUUAAAUCUACUUGAAUAUCUAUGUCAAGACCUGAAAAUGGUUGUCUAGCAAUGAUGAACGACCAAUUUCGAAAAGAAUAAAUCCAGGUGUGGAAUGCUCUUAGAGCCUUACCCAGAAAGACUCACAGCCAUACUUGCAGCCAAAGGUUACAUAUGUUCAGAAAUUCCUGGUUUGCAUACCCAUUCUUGCCUUAACAUUUAUCAUAACUUGGAACAUUUCCUACUCCCCUACCCCAUGCUGUUUGAGAGCUCAGCCCGUGCUCUGUAUGUGUGCAGGCCGCAUGUAAUAAAUACACAUAAUGAACGAACAGCUUCGGGUAAUCCAUCCGUUUAAAAAACAAACAUAUAUAUAUAUAUAUAUAUAAAG